UAGGGAAUCUUCCACAAUGGGCGAAAGCCUGAUGGAGCAACGCCGCGUGUGUGAUGAAGGGUUUCGGCUCGUAAAACACUGUUGUAAGAGAAGAAUGACAUUGAGAGUAACUGUUCAAUGUGUGACGGUAUCUUACCAGAAAGGAACGGUAAAUACGUGCCCG
rnacentral:rRNA from 1 species